GGUCAGUUGGCCGAGUGGCUAGGUCCCGGUCUGCAAAACCGGUUACGGCGGUUCGAAUCCGCCACUGACCU
rnacentral:tRNA from 1 species